CAAAUUGACACAAUCACAAGUGGGAAUUAACAGCGGCAGUGCCAAACCUUCAGCCUGCUGCUGCCGAAUUCUCUACUGGGGUGAAACUAUCACAAAACAGCGUUGCGCGGGCGCAAAGAGAACAGCAAAAAUCAGCGCGCAGAAAGCAAUAAUAGUUUAUACACAUGUGUAUAUUUAUGUAUGUAUUCGUUUGCAUAAACUUGUUCGUGCAUUUGUUUCCUUGUGCGUUGUCUACUUAUUAAUGUGUGUCUGCUUAAACGUUAUCUUCAAAUAGAUCGCACUUCAUCAAAAUUUGUUGUUGCUCAUCGCUUCUGGAAGGAAUUUAUCUUAUUACCGCUUACUUGAUCUCUCUUCUGUGUGCCGUUUCUUCGUCCGUUAUUUAUGUAUGUGCGCAUAUGUAGAUAAUGCACAGGCACGCCUUUACACAUGCACACAUACAUACAUAUGUUCGCUCAAAUUGGACAUUCUCAUCUCAUUCUGUGUUAGUUUUACUCCAGAAGUCAAUUUGAUGUGUUGUUUUGUUGCGAAUUAAAGUCGUUUGAAGCUAUUGCAAAAUAUAAUUUGCAAUGUCUUGGUUAAAUACCUUCUCGGAUGCGUACGUAUCAGGACUAUUGAUGGUAAUAAAAUAUAACACUUAUUCUUUUAUUUAGUUGCCUUCAGCUGGGGAACAGCAUUUCUCGGUUCUCUAUCUCAUCGCGUGCGCUUGGACGGCGAGUGAAUACUUAACUUAUCCCAUUGAUUGAUUCCAUAUAUUGCACCACAUCAAGUUGUUUGACAUAAAACAAGGCUAUUGGGCUAUUUUGGAUCAACGCCUUUGUACUAGUCUGCCAAAGAGGUCGGUGCAAUUAUGUGAUCGCAAUUGUAGAGGACUUUCUGCUCCAUCUCGCCCGUCUGCCGCUGCCAAUAAGAUGAGGACAUGGCUUGUGGAUAUCCUUGGCCGGCGAUUUUGCACCUGCUGCUGCCGCUGCCACGCCCUUCAGAAUUUCUCGUAUUCGCAACUCCAAAUUGAAGGAUUUAAGGACUCUAAUCGAUUCUAAGGACAUUUACGAAUCUAACGAGGCAACUUUUUCCAGGAUCGGAUAUAUAUUAAGCCAAAUAUAGACAUUU